rnacentral:rRNA from 1 species
GACGAACGCUGGCGGCGUGCUUAACACAUGCAAGUCGAACGGUGAAGCGCUUUCCUUUUUGGUUGGUGUGGAUGAGUGGCGAACGGGUGAGUAACACGUGAGUAACCUGCCCCCUUCUUCUGGAUAACCGCAUGAAAGUGUGGCUAAUACGGGAUAUUCUGCGCCUGCUGCAUGGUGGGUGUGGGAAAGAUUGUGCCUUUGGGUGUUUUCGGUGGGGGAUGGGCUCGCGGCCUAUCAGCUUGUUGGUGGGGUGAUGGCCUACCAAGGCGGUGACGGGUAGCCGGCCUGAGAGGGUGGACGGUCACACUGGGACUGAGACACGGCCCAGACUCCUACGGGAGGCAGCAGUGGGGAAUAUUGCACAAUGGGCGCAAGCCUGAUGCAGCGACGCCGCGUGAGGGAUGGAGGCCUUCGGGGUGUGAACCUCUUUCGCCAGUGAGGCAGGCCUGCUCCUUGUGGGUGGGUUGACGGUAGCUGGAUAAGAAGCGCCGGCUAACUACGUG